CCUACGGGAGGCAGCAGUGGGGAAUAUUGCACAAUGGGGGAAACCCUGAUGCAGCGACGCCGCGUGAGUGAAGAAGUAUUUCGGUACGUAAAGCUCUAUCAGCAGGGAAGAAAAUGACGGUACCUGACUAAGAAGCCCCGGCUAACUACGUGCCAGCAGCCGCGGUAAUACGUAGGGGGCAAGCGUUAUCCGGAUUUACUGGGUGUAAAGGGAGCGUAGACGGCAGCGCAAGUCUGGAGUGAAAUGCCAUGGCUUAACCAUGGAACUGCGUUGGAAACUGUGCAGCUAGAGUGCAGGAGAGGUAAGCGGAAUUCCUAGUGUAGCGGUGAAAUGCGUAGAUAUUAGGAGGAACACCAGUGGCGAAGGCGGCUUACUGGACUGUAACUGACGUUGAGGCUCGAAAGCGUGGGGAGCAAACAGGAUUAGAUACCCGGGUAGUC
rnacentral:rRNA from 1 species